rnacentral:lncRNA from 1 species
AUGAGGACCAGAGGCUUUAAGGCUCAUUUUCUUGGAAUUGCUGUUUGUUCCCCACAUAUGGCCAGCAUCUCCAUUGGGAAGACUCUUGUUUUUCAGGCAUCCUCCUGCCUCAGGGCUAACUGCGACUUGAAAAGUCUUAGGAAAACAGCUCUCAACCUUGUCAUCCAUCUGGAACUUCUCAACAAAUCUAAGACAGGAGCUGGGGAAAAUGCUUACUUGGUAAACUGCAAGCAGGAAGACCCAAGCUCUCAGGUAGGAAUCAGGGCAUAGGAGCAUGUGCUUGUAAUCCUUGUGCUAGGGAGGUGGACACAGGAAGACCCUGGGAUUCACUCGUCAGCCAGCCAGGCCAAAAAUGGUUCCAGAGACUCUGUCUCAAAACACAGGUGGAUGGCUUUUGAGGAAUGACAUCUGGGAUUGACUUUUGAUCUCAACAGACUCUCUCUCUCUCUCUCUCUCUCUCUCUCUCUCUCUCUCUCUCUCUGUGUAUGUGUGUAUUUCUAAGUUAUAGAAUAUAGA